UGCAAGGUUAUCCUUGCACCUGUAUAUGAUAUAUAGAAAAUGGUUCUCAGCAAACCCUGUGCUCUUGUUUACUCGAGUCUCUUAUUAUUCCUAUUGCUACUCUUCUUCUCCGAAGUAGCAUUUGCCAGGCUUUCAGCAUCUGCAAUAUCCAAGAAGACCGAGCUGGAUCUGCUAAUGGAUUUUGGUAGUGACAAAGUGACUAGAUCGUUUGCGGGGCAGGUCAAACUGUCUAAGGGCUAUCUGUCUAAGAAGCUCACCCUGGACAAUUAUGAGGACAAGGAAUUGUUUUGGGUUUCUGCUCAACGGGGGGGGUACGGGUCACAAAUAAAUAGUAGUCCGGAGGGGCAUUAUGGUCAUGUGGCUUCGCCUCCUCCAUGUAAGACUAAAAAAGGAUGUUUGUAGCGAAUGGGCCCGUACAUGUAUCUAGAUAUUGAGUUUUAAAUCAAUAUGCCUCAGUACUAUUGGAAAUAAGUUACUUAUAGGUUAAUAUUUUUAUUUUAUCAUUUUGCUACGUGGGAUUUUAAUUUUCCUACAUACUGUACCAUUUGAAAAUUGAAACUCAAUGUUCACCUUACUCAUUUCUUA